GACAGAGGUCCCGAGCGUUAGGCGGAAUCACUGGGCUUAAAGCGUGUGUAGGCGGAUCCGUAAGUACCUUGUGAAAUCCCACGGCUCACCCGUGGAACUGCUCGGUAUACUGCGGGUCUUGGGCCAUCUAGGGGCGAGCGGAACAAACGGUGGAGCGGUGAAAUGCGUAGAUAUCGUUUGGAACGCCAAUGGUGAAAACAGCUCGCUGGGGAUGUGCCGACGCUGAGACACGAAGCCAGGGGAGCGAAACGGG
rnacentral:rRNA from 1 species